rnacentral:rRNA from 1 species
UUCGGGAGCCAUUACAGGUGUUGCAUGGCUGUCGUCAGCUCGUGUCGUGAGAUGUUCGGUUAAGUCCGCUAACGAGCGCAACCCUCGCUGUGUGUUAUAUGUGUCACACAGGACUGCUGGUAUUAAGCCGGAGGAAGGUGGGGACGACGUCAAGUCAGCAUGACCUUUAUAUCCAGGGCUACACACACGCUACAAUGGUCAGUACAAUGGGUUGCCAAGCCGCGAGGCGGAGCCAAUCCUAAAAAGCUGGCCUCAGUUCAGAUUGCAGUCUGAAACUCGACUGCAUGAAGUCGGAGUUGCUAGUAAACGCAGGUCAGCUAUACUGCGUUGAAUACGUUCCCGGGGCUU